UACGUAGGGGGCAAGCGUUGUCCGGAUUUAUUGGGCGUAAAGAGCGUGUAGGCGGCCUGACAGGUCUGCUGUGAAAACUCGAGGCUCAACCUCGAGAUGUCGGCGGAAACCGUCUGGCUAGAGUCCGGAAGAGGAGAGUGGAAUUCCUGGUGUAGCGGUGAAAUGCGCAGAUAUCAGGAAGAACACCUAUGGCGAAGGCAGCUCUCUGGGGACGGUACUGACGCUGAGGCGCGAAAAGCUAGGGGUAGCAAACGGG
rnacentral:rRNA from 1 species